rnacentral:rRNA from 1 species
AUUGAACGCUAGCGGGAUGCUUUACACAUGCAAGUCGAACGAGUGGCGGACGGGUGAGUAAUAUAUCGGAACGUGCCCAGUGGCGGGGGAUAACUACUCGAAACAGUGGCUAAUACCGCGUACUAUUGGAGCGGCCGAUAUCGGAUUAGCUAGUUGGGGGGGUAAAGGCUCACCAAGGCGACGAUCCCUAGCUGGUCUGAGAGGACGACCAGCCACACUGGGACUGAGAGACGGCCCAGACUCCUACGGGAGGCAGCAGUGGGGAAUAUUGGACAAUGGGGGAAACCCUGAUACAGCCAUGCCGCGUGUAUGAGAAGGCCUUCGGGUUGUAAAGUACUUUUGGCAGAGAAGCGUUAACUGCAGAAGAAGCACCGGCUAACUACGUGCCAGCAGCCGCGGUAAUUC